UCUUGAUUUUUUUUUUUCAUAUGAAAAAUAUCUCAUAAUUCAUAUAAAUAUUUUUCAAAUAGUGACAUGUGACCAGCAUCUAGACAAACAGCCAAACGCAAGUUCCUAUCUUUAGAAUUUGGACUUGGUAUAAUAUAAAUUGUCCCUUCAUAUAAAAUGCAAGCUGGUCCCAUAUGAAUUGGCCUACCCCAUCCAAAAUCACACUCAUGGACAGGCAACCUAGUCCAACUAUUAAUAUUGAGGUUAGGGCUAGCAAAGUAAGCCGGGCCCCGAAUUAGGGUUGAUAAAUCAGGUUGUAAUUCGAGGUAAUCCAGUGCUGAUCUUAGGUAAUUGUCGUCCAUUUUGAUCAACUCGUUGUGAAUUCUCUUGACGGAAUUUGUCAACGGCUCUGAUUGAAGUUCGCAUGAUUUAGCUAUUGGGGUUGCCGUGAACACGACGUUUCCUAGGUAACCCGGUGGCAAGGGAGGGCAAAGCCUUGACCUUCCGUCGGUGGCCACGUGUAAUUUGGU
rnacentral:misc_RNA from 1 species